rnacentral:lncRNA from 1 species
GCCCCAGCCACAUGCCCAGCUUUGAGUGGGGUCCCCACAACCAUGGCCCCUGCUUCUCCUACCCAGGCAUCCCUGUGGCCAAGGCCUGUGCCAGUGGAAUGUCCAAGGAGACAGGAGCUCAGCAUGCGACCAUGCAGGGCUCAGCGUGUGAGCAGGGUCAGGGCUCAGAGUGUGAGCAGGGUCAGGGCUCAGAGUGUGAGCAGGGUCAGGGCUCAGUGUGUGAUCAGGGAUCAGUGUAUGCCCAGAAUCAGGGCUCAGGAUCAGUAUGUGACCAGGGUCAGGGCUCAGUCUGUGAUCAGGGAUCAGGGAUCAGUGUAUGCCCAGGACAGGGCUCAGGGGCAGUAGUGGCCAGGGUCAGGGCUCAGUCUGCGAUCAGGGAUCAGUGUAUGACCAGGAUCCGGGCUCACUGGGUGAUCAAGGUGAGAGUUCAGUGUAUGACAAGGGUCGGGGCUUCAGCUUGUGACUAGGGCCAGUGAUCAUGAUUUCAAAGUCACUCAGGGGUCAUGGCUGAGUGGGUGGCUGUGGUCAGGGAUUGGUUUCUGGCAUCAAUAACGCGCCAGUGUCCCACUCCCUCUGGGACUGGGGGAGGCGGUCCUGGGAUCUGUCGUCCAGCUGGAUAGGUUUGGCCCAGUAGAGGGCCAUCCAUUUCAACCUCCCAUGCUGAGCCCACCCUGAGUUUCUUCAAGUUGUGGCCAGGCCCCCAGGUUUGGGUCUGGGAUGGUACAGCGGUGAGGGUACGGGUGUGGCAAGUGUUGAUGGAGGGGGUGCUGGAUGUAAAUUGGUAGCAAAUCUCAGGAAAAGUGGCCAUUGGCUCAGAGUUCUAGAAUCCUGGAGUGUCUGGGCUCCAGGUCAAGAGUUUUGAAACCUUCAAAGGUUAAGAAAUCUUCAGAACCGUUCAGUCAGAAUACUCGUGUCCCAGUAGGGAAACUGAGGCUCCACUUCAGGGUGCUCAGCGGGGAGCCAGGUCUGGGGGGCGGUGGGCAGAAGUCCCUACAUCUGAUCCUCCGGGGCCAAGCUGACUCUUCUCCCUGCUCAGGGAGGAGCAUGGUGGGGGGCGUCCUCUCUGCCUCUAGGAGGGGUUCUGGGUCAGGAAUGGGGGUAAGGGGACAAUUUUCUAAAAGGGGUAAGUCGGAGAGGGAAGCAAGGAGUCCCCUGUGCAGGGAGGGGGAAGGCAGGGCCCUGCGGAAAAGCCCCAGUCUGAGGGGACACCACCUCCCCCGGGGUGGCCUGGUUGGAGGGGCCCCAGCCUUCCCCGGGAACCCCAGGCCAGGGCCCUGAGCAGAGGGGCGGGGAAGGCUGCUACCCUCCCCCACCCGCAGGGAGAUGGGCUGGUGGCAGAGCAGCAGCUGAAAUCCUGACUCAGAGCUGCCCGCACCCUUGGUGCCGCCUCGCUGCCUAACAUCAGAGGCCCCCUGGUGGCCACAAGCUGCUAGUGCAGCGAGGGGACUCAAGCAAGGACAGCUGCAG